rnacentral:rRNA from 1 species
GAGCGUUGUCCGGAAUCACUGGGCGUAAAGGGCGCGUAGGCGGUCUGUUAAGCGUGUGGUGAAAGCUCGGGGCUCAACCCCGAGUCUGCCAUGCGAACUGGUGGACUUGAGCACUGUAGAGGCAGGUGGAAUUCCGGGUGUAGCGGUGGAAUGCGUAGAGAUCCGGAAGAACACCGGUGGCGAAGGCGGCCUGCUGGGCAGUUGCUGACGCUGAGGCGCGACAGCGUGGGGAGCAAACGGG